GAGAUAAUCACCCCAUAACACCAGCAACUAUAAUACAUGCCAUCUUUGUUUUGCUCUGCACUCGCUAGUGCGUCUGUUACAUUUGCAAAUUGUUCAUCAGUUUCCUCUGACUGUUCUGAUAGGUUUGUAACCUCUCCUGUCACGCCUGCGAAUUUCUCAGAUAAUUGAGUCUGACCUGCAAAAUCUGCUAUUUGCUCUUAUGCUUUUGCUGUUGUGUCUGAUAUACCUACAACUUGUGUUAGCGCAUGUUUUGACAGGUAUGUAAACCAAUGUCCGUUUUGUAAAACCUGUUGCUACAUUUCUUGAUAGACUUUCAACUUUACUUGCGUUCCGUAUUAUCCCCGCUGUGCUUGAUCAACACCGAAUAAUCAACUAAAAGUCACCCUAUUUACUCGCUAUUAAAGU